rnacentral:rRNA from 1 species
UGGGGAAUAUUGGACAAUGGGGGAAACCCUGAUCCAGCCAUGCCGCGUGUGUGAAGAAGGCCUUCGGGUUGUAAAGCACUUUAAGCGAGGAGGAAGGUUCGUUGGUUAAUAACCAGCGGAAUUGACGUUACUCGCAGAAUAAGCACCGGCUAACUCUGUGCCAGCAGCCGCGGUAAUACAGAGGGUGCAAGCGUUAAUCGGAAUUACUGGGCGUAAAGCGCGCGUAGGCGGUUGUGUAAGUUGGAGGUGAAAUCCCCGGGCUUAACCUGGGCACUGCCUUCAAAACUGCACGGCUAGAGUAUGGGAGAGGAAGGUAGAAUUCCAGGUGUAGCGGUGAAAUGCGUAGAGAUCUGGAGGAAUACCGAUGGCGAAGGCAGCCUUCUGGCCUAAUACUGACGCUGAGGUGCGAAAGCAUGGGGAGCAAACA